GAUGAACGCUGGCUACAGGCUUAACACAUGCAAGUCGAGGGGAAACGACGGGGAAGCUUGCUUCCCCGGGCGUCGACCGGCGCACGGGUGAGUAACGCGUAUCCAACCUGCCUCUGACUGAGGGAUAACCCGUCGAAAGUCGGCCUAAUACCUCAUGGUAUCGUCUGCGGGCAUCCAACGACGAUUAAAGAUUUCAUCGGUCAGGGAUGGGGAUGCGUCUGAUUAGCUUGUUGGCGGGGUAACGGCCCACCAAGGCUACGAUCAGUAGGGGUUCUGAGAGGAAGGUCCCCCACAUUGGAACUGAGACACGGUCCAAACUCCUACGGGAGGCAGCAGUGAGGAAUAUUGGUCAAUGGGCGAGAGCCUGAACCAGCCAAGUAGCGUGCAGGAAGACGGCCCUAUGGGUUGUAAACUGCUUUUAUGCGGGGAUAAAGUGAGGGACGUGGCCCUCAUUGCAGGUACCGCAUGAAUAAGGACCGGCUAAUUCCGU
rnacentral:rRNA from 1 species